CCCUUAGAUGAUUUGGGCUGCACGCGCGCUACACUGACCCUAACAAUGAGCAACUGUCUGGCCUGAGAUGGCUGGGUAGCCUUUUCAACCCAUGUCAUGAUUGGGCUAGAUUUUUGUAAGUCUUGAUCUCUAACGAGGAAUCCCUAGUAUGCGUGAAUCAUCAAUCCAUGCAGAUUAUGUCCCUGCCCUUUGUACACACCGCCCGUCGCUACUACCGAUUGGAUGGUUUAGUGAGAUCCUCGGAUUGGUCCCGGCGCGGCCUCUGGUCGUGCCGGAGUGCCGAAAAGAAUGUCGAACUUGAUCAUCUAGAGGAAGUAAAAGUCGUAACA
rnacentral:rRNA from 1 species